UACGAAGGGGGCUAGCGUUGCUCGGAAUGACUGGGCGUAAAGGGCGCGUAGGCGGCGGUCACAGUCAGAUGUGAAAUCCCUGGGCUCAACCUAGGACGUGCACCUGAAACUGGUAAGCUUGAGUCUCGGAGAGGUUGGUGGAAUUCCCAGUGUAGAGGUGAAAUUCGUAGAUAUUGGGAGGAACACCGGUGGCGAAGGCGGCCAACUGGACGAAGACUGGCGCUGAGGGGCGAAAGCGUGGGGAUCAAACAGG
rnacentral:rRNA from 1 species